rnacentral:rRNA from 1 species
UACGUAGGGUGCGAGCGUUAAUCGGAAUUACUGGGCGUAAAGCGUGCGCAGGCGGUUCGUUAAGCCAGACGUGAAAUCCCUCGGCUUAACCGGGGAACUGCGUCUGAUACUGGAUGGCUUGAGUUCGGGAGAGGGAUGCGGAAUUCCAGGUGUAGCGGUGAAAUGCGUAGAUAUCUGGAGGAACACCGGUGGCGAAGGCGGCAUCCUGGACCGACACUGACGCUGAGGAGCGAAAGCCAGGGGAGCAAACAGG